UGUACACGCUGUGACUAGCAUAUCAAUAAGCGGAGGAAAAGAAACUAACAAGGAUUCCCCUAGUAACGGCGAGUGAAGCGGGAAGAGCUCAAAUUUGAAAUCUUAAAGGGUUUCCCUUUACGAAUUGUAGUUUAAAGAAGUGUUUUCUGUUGAGGUUUUGGUAAAAGUUCUUUGGAAUAGGACAUCAUAGAGGGUGAGAAUCCCGUAUUUGACCUUUACUUUCAACUUUGUGAUACACUUUCCAAAGAGUCGGAUUGUUUGGGAAUGCAGUCCAAGAUGGGUGGUAAAUUUCAUCUAAAGCUAAAUAUUGGCGAGAGACCGAUAGCGAACAAGUACCGUGAGGGAAAGAUGAAAAGAACUUUGAAAAGAGAGUUAAACAGUACGUGAAAUUGUCAAAAGGGAAGCGUUUGACACCAGUGUUGUUUUUCUGAAAAUCAAUUAAUGAACUGUUUAUGCUAAGCUGUUUAGACUUUAUCAGCUAUCUGUUUAGUUUUGAGCUUUUCUUUAAUGCACUUUUCAGUUAACAAGUCAACAUCAAUUUCUUUUGCUGUAAAAAAGCUUGAGGAAGGUGGCUUGAGAUUCGUCUUAAGUGUUUAUAGCCUCUUGCCUAUGCAGUCGGAGAGAUUGAGGUCUGCAGCGUAGAUCCUUCGGGGCUAAAUGCAUUUGUGCUAAGUUAUAGCAUUUUAUAGACAACUUGUUGACUAUGAUUUGUCUUGUAGCUUACUCGCUUAUGUUAUUUUACCUACGCUUAGGAUGUUGAAGAUGUAGCACAUCAU
rnacentral:rRNA from 1 species